CCUACGGGAGGCAGCAGUGGGGAAUAUUGGACAAUGGGGGGAACCCUGAUCCAGCCACGCCGCGUGUGUGAAGAAGGCCCUCGGGUUGUAAAGCACUUUCAGUGAGGAAGAACGCCUGGUGGUUAAUACCCAUCAGGAAAGACAUCACUCACAGAAGAAGCACCGGCUAACUCCGUGCCAGCAGCCGCGGUAAUACGGAGGGUGCGAGCGUUAAUCGGAAUUACUGGGCGUAAAGCGCGCGUAGGUGGCUUGAUAAGCCGGUUGUGAAAGCCCCGGGCUCAACCUGGGAACGGCAUCCGGAACUGUCAAGCUAGAGUGCAGGAGAGGAAGGUAGAAUUCCCGGUGUAGCGGUGAAAUGCGUAGAGAUCGGGAGGAAUACCAGUGGCGAAGGCGGCCUUCUGGACUGACACUGACACUGAGGUGCGAAAGCGUGGGUAGCAAACAGGAUUAGAUACCCUGGUAGUC
rnacentral:rRNA from 1 species